AUGACAACAUGCGCCGCGCUGAUGCAGUGGAUACCAUGUGUUCAUGGCUGUAAACUCUGCCCGGAGUCUCAACUCUCAACUCUCAACUCGCAUCCGAUUGUUCUGCGGGACAAGAGCAAGACGACCGCAUUCGUCGGCCGGCGUUCGUCGAGAGACCAGGAAAUGGAGCCGUACGUCGCCCUCUUGGCCUACCUACAACGGUUCGCAGCUUCGGUUUCCGCGGCGAGCUGCGACGCGGAGGCGACGGGGGAUGGCGGCGGCGAUGUCUGCCGCAACGAGGCGGCGGCGCUGCAGCUCAAGAUAGUCGCCGUCGCCGCUAUCCUUGUCUCGAGCGCCGCCGGCGUCGCCAUCCCGCUCGUCGGCCACAGGUGGCGUGGCGGGGUUCGAGCCGGUGAGGGCGGGUGGGCGUUCCUGCUCGCCAAGGCGUUCGCGGCGGGGGUAGUCCUGGGCACGGGGUACGUGCACAUGAUGCACGACGCGGAGGAGAAAUUCUUGGACCCGUGCCUCCCGGACUCGUCGCCGUGGCGGCAGUUCCCCUUCGCGGGCUCUGUCGCCAUGCUCGCCAGCCUCGUCACGCUCGUGGUCGACUUCAUCGGCACACAGUUUUACGAGCGUAAGCAGCGCGAUAUGGCCGCUGCCGCCUCCGCCACAACGAGCGCCCAACAUGAGACGGGGUCGCCACUGCUGGAGGACGGGAGGACUACAGGGGGCGAGAAGUGUAAAGCCGACCUUGGGCACAGCCAUGCGCACGUCUACGAAGGAGUAGUGCACAACGGCCAUGGCCACGAGAACGAGGAGGGCCCGUCCCAAGCUCGUCAAGUGGUGGUUUCGCAGAUUUUGGAACUUGGAAUUGUAUCACACUCGGUGAUCAUCGGGCUAUCACUAGGUAUUUCGCAGAGCACGUGUACAAUCAAGCCUCUGGUUGCUGCCCUCUCCUUCCACCAGUUCUUUGAGGGUUUUGCACUGGGUGACUGCAUUUCUCAGGCUCAGCUGAAGGAUCUCUCUAUGCUUUUGAUGGCGUUCUUCUUUGCCAUCACAACACCCGCCGGGAUCGCUGCAGGCUCCGCCAUGGCAUCAUUCUACAACCCGUACAGCCCCCGUGCUUUGGUGGUGGAGGGUAUUCUUAAUGCCAUGUCGGCUGGUGUACUGAUCUAUAUGGCACUGGUGGAUCUCAUCGCGGCUGAUUUUCUUGGUCGGAGGAUGAGCAACAACCCGACCAUCUUGCAGGUUGGUGCAUAUGUCUCCCUGUUUCUUGGGGCCAUAGCCAUGGCAUCCCUUGCUAUCUGGACUUAG
rnacentral:rRNA from 1 species